AUGAAGGAUGAUGAUCUUGUUGGAUUUGCUGAUCCAAAUACGGUCAGUGACAAUGAUGAGGAUAAUGAAAUCGCUAGUAUUAAAAAGAAGAUUUCCAAGAAAUCUGGAGGGUUUCAAUCCAUGGCUCUUAGUUUUCCAAUACUGAAAGGGAUCCUCAAACGUGGAUACAAAAUACCCACACCUAUACAAAGAAAGACUAUACCAUUGGCUCUCGAGGGAAGAGAUGUAGUAGCAAUGGCUAGGACAGGUAGCGGAAAGACUGCUUGCUUUUUAAUUCCUCUGUUCGAAAAACUCAAGGCAAGGCAAGCAAAAACGGGUGCACGUGCAUUGAUACUAUCGCCUACACGUGAGCUGGCACUGCAGACAUUAAAGUUCAUAAAGGAGUUAGGAAGAUUUACAGGAUUAAAAUCAGCAGUGAUACUGGGAGGCGACAGUAUGGAUAAUCAGUUUAGUGCCAUUCAUGGAAAUCCUGACAUCAUUGUAGCUACUCCAGGUAGACUUCUGCAUAUAUGUGUGGAGAUGGAUCUGCAGUUGAAAAAUAUCGAAUACAUUGUUUUUGAUGAGGCUGAUAGAUUAUUUGAAAUGGGCUUUGGAGAACAGAUACAAGAAAUUGUAAAUAGAUUACCAGAAUCACGUCAGACAUUAUUGUUUUCUGCUACUUUGCCUAAGAUUCUAGUAGAUUUUGCAAAAGCUGGUCUAAGUGAUCCAGUUUUACUUCGUUUGGAUGUUGAGAGUAAGCUGCCUGAAGGAUUGACAUUAUCUUUUAUUACGUGUCGCCCUGAAGAGAAAUUAGCUGUACUUCUAAACUUACUAAAAAGAAUUAUUAAGCCCGAGUCGCAAAUAAUUAUAUUUGCGGAAACUAUGCAUCAUGUAGAAUAUAUUCAUCAGAUAUUAGAUAAAGCUGGUAUAUCUAACACUUUCAUUUAUUCAAAUCUGGAUCCUUCUGCGCGUAAAAUAAACGCAGCUAAAUUUCAAAUCGGUAAAGUAAGAGUUCUCAUAGUGACAGAUGUUGCCGCUAGAGGAAUAGAUAUACCACAUCUCGACUAUGUAAUUAAUUUUAAUUUUCCUGCAAAAUCUAAACUUUUCGUACACAGAGUAGGGCGAUGUGCUCGAGCUGGACGUGUUGGAACGGCAUAUAAUAUUGUGAGCUCGGAUGAAUAUCCUUAUCUCUUAGAUUUGCAUCUCUUUCUUGGUCGACCUUUAACAAUAGUGCCAACUACAGAAACCGAUGAAAGUAUGGAAUGUGCUGUCGGAAAAUUGCCACAAGCCAUGGUAGAGGAAGAAUUAGCUGAAUUAAUAAAUUGGCACAAUACUUCUACUGAUCUGAUAAAUAUGCGAAAAGUAUGCAACAACGCCUAUCAGCAAUACGUUAGAUCGCGACCAAGUGCUUCGACAGAAAGUGUCAAAAGAAUUAAGGAGCUUCGCAUAAAUGAAGCCGGAAUUUUACCCCAGUAUUCUGAUGCUUCUCACAUUAAUACAGCGGAUAUAAUAUCCAGGAUGAAAAACUAUAGACCGCAGGGAACGAUAUUUGAAAUUGGUACGAAAACAAAUUCAACUGAUUAUCAAGUGAUGAAAGCAAAACGAAUGUUUCACAAGGAAAAUAUUCUUAAUUUCCGUAAAAAGAUGGAAGAACAUAAAACCGAUAAAAUUAAUACGGCAUCAGAAUUAUCUCAAAAAGUCGAACUACCAUCCAGCAACACGGAAGAAAUUAAUGCUGCAUUCAGAACAGUGGUAGUUCCAAAGAAAAGAACUAGUGACGAUUUAUACAAACUUUCAAAGAAGAAGAAACGUUUAACGAAACGGGAUGAAGAAUAUUAUAUACCUUAUUCUGCACCAGAUAAACAUACAGAGGAUGGUUUAGCAGUUAACACAUUUGCCACUGAAGCUGAUAAGGCGCAGAUGGAUUUAACAGCAGAUAAUGAAGACGGUCACCAUCUUCAAACGCAACUGAAAAAGUGGGAUAGGAAAAGAAAGAAGAUGGUCACCGUCGAGAGGGACUCGAAGACGAAAAAAAUACGUACUGAAUCGGGAGUAUGGAUACCUGCUACAUAUAAAACAAAUCGUUAUAAUGUGUGGAAAGAGAAGAGUAAAAUCGAUGAAAACGAUAGCGAAGAUGAUAGUGAGGAAGAACCUUCACAACAGAAAAAUUUACGAACUACUGUAAAUACGCAUUGGGCGCGGCACAACCAGAAGCUUAAAGACAAGAUUAAAAUAAAGAGCGAGCUGAAGCGACCCGAACAAAUCUUGAAGGCACGCAAACUUCUGGAGAAAAAACGCCAAAAAAAUGGCAGAAAAAGAAAUAAAGGUCAAAAGAAUCGUACAAGGAAACAUUAAAACAUUUUCAAUGUUUAAAGUAUAUUAUCAUUAUAAUACAGUUUAUUUUAUGCAUUGGUUUCUCUCGGUUAAUUACCACUUCUCCUCUUGCGCUAUUCCCAUUACUCAUAUUUGCUAUGUAAUCAACACGACACGCUAGAAUGGAGAAACGAGUGAAAGCCAGAAGAUACUACACGUAGUAGAAAUAGACGUUUGGCCUUGCAUCAUCAUCGUCAUAACAACAUAGUUGCACAAUUGUGGGGCCUCCCGUAAGGCAAGGUAUUACGAAGACUUCGCUAGACGCUUGCCUUCGCGCGAAGCCUUAAGAAAUUUCCGCAUCAUCGA